AUUGAACGCUGGCGGCAGGCCUAACACAUGCAAGUCGAACGAGUGGCGGACGGGUGAGUAAUGUCGGGGAAACUGCCUGAUGGAGGGGGAUAACUACUGGAAACGGUAGCUAAUACCGCAUACCAUCAGAUGUGCCCAGAUGGGAUUAGCCAGUUGGUGGGGGAACGGAUCACCAAGGCGACGAUCCCUAGCUGGUCUGAGAGGAUGACCAGCCCCCCUGGAACUGCGCCCCGGUCCCGCCUCCUCCGGGAGUCAGCAGUGGGGAAUAUUGCACAAUGGGCGCAAGCCUGAUGCAGCCAUGCCGCGUGUAUGACGAAGGCCUUCGGGUUGUAAAGUACUUUCAGCGGGGAGGCGUUACCCGCAGAAGAAGCACCGGCUAACUCCGUGCCAGCAGCCGCGGUAAUAC
rnacentral:rRNA from 1 species